GUAAUUCUGGCUUUCUCCUCCUCUAGGUAUAAUAGUAAGCCUUCAAAUGUUCAAUUGAGUGUCUUCGACUCUUCGUCCAAGUUUUCUUGAGGAAAUCUUUAGAGGCUGGUGCUGGUGAGAAGGGUCAAUCUAAGCUUUCUCUCCAUGGUUUCGUGCAUCAGUACAAGAACCAAUCCCGAGACGGAUCGUCAUCAUGGUGCCAAUGCCGAGACGGAUUUUCAUCAUGUGCCUUCACUUCCUCAGACAGAGGGUGGGAUCAUAAAAGCAGCCAAUUUGGAGUGCUUUUGCUUCAGUGAACUGGCAGCAGCCACAGGACACUUCAAUAAAGAGAAUUUGUUGGGUUUGGGAGAGUUCGGUGUUGUCUACAGAGGAUGGAUUGAUGAGCAUUCACUAAAGGCUACAAGUCCUAGGAAGGGCAUGGCUAUUGCUGUAAAGAAGCUUAGGCAUGACAGUUGCCAGGGUCAACAAGAAUGGU
rnacentral:misc_RNA from 1 species